rnacentral:tRNA from 1 species
GCCGAUGUAGCUCAGCUGGCUAGAGCGACUGACUUGUAAUCAGUAGGUCGUGGGUUCAAGUCCCACCGUCGGCU